CUCAUAGCGUAUAUUAAGUUGUUGCAGUUAAAAAGCUCGUAGUUGAAUUUCGGGGUUAGUAGGUUGGUCAUGCCUCUGGUAUGUACUGGUCUCACUGAUUCCUCCUUCCUGAUGAACCGUAAUGCCAUUAAUUUGGUGUUGCGGGGAAUUUGGACUGUUACUUUGAAAAAAUUAGAGUGUUUUAAAGCAGGCU
rnacentral:rRNA from 1 species